CUGUUGAUGAGUGUAAUAAGAUGAAGCUACUCCAACCAAACUUUGGAGUCAAAUAUAAUACUUAAAUGUUAUUUCCAUUUUAGGAUGAUUAUAUGUCCAUUUUAAUAUAUUUUCAAGUUGAAUCAUUGUAUUUUAGUCUAUUUUCAAGUGUAACAAAAUAGAGUUUCUUAAAGCUACCAAAAUGUUUCACCAUGAGAGUCAAAUAC
rnacentral:lncRNA from 1 species